AGUGGGGAAUCUUUCGCAAUGGACGAAAGUCUGACGGAGCGACACCGCGUGGGGGAUGACGGCUUUCGGGUUGUAAACCCCUUUUCUGGGGGAAGAAUAAGGUCGGGAGGAAAUGCCCGUCCGAUGACGGUACUCCAGGAAUAAGCAUCGGCUAACUUCGUGCCAGCAGCCGCGGUAAGACGAAGGAUGCAAGCGUUAUCCGGAAUUACUGGGCGUAAAGGGCGUCUAGGCGGUCGGGCAAGUCACCUGUGAAAGCCCUCAGCUUAACUGAGGAACGUCAGGUGAAACUGCUCGGCUUGGGUGCAGGAGAGGAGGGUGGAACUCACAGAGUAGCGGUGGAAUGCGUAGAUACUGUGAGGUACCCCGAUGGCGAAGGCAACCCUCUGGCCUGCUACCGACGCUGAAGCGCGAAAGCGUGGGGAGCAAAGGGGAUUAGAUACCCCCGUAGUCCACGCCGCAAACGAUGUUCACUGGGUGUCGGUCACACAUAUAGAUCGGUGCCGGAGCUAACGCGUUAAGUGAACCGCCUGGGGAGUACGGCCGCAAGGCUAAAACUCAAGAGAAUUGACGGGUCCCUGCACAAGCGGUGGAGCACGUGGUUUAAUUCGAUGAUAAGCGAAGAACCUCACCUGGGCUUGACAUACUAGUGGUAGGAACCUGAAAGGGCGACGACCCUUCCCUUCGGGGUUGGGAGCUAGCACAGGUGAUGCAUGGCUGUCGUCAGCUCGUGUCGUGGGACGUAGGGUUAAGUCCCGAAACGAGCGCAACCCUUGUCGUUAGUUGCCAGCGGGUAAUGCCGGGGACUCUAACGAGACUGCUGGUGAAUAGCCGGAGGAAGGAGGGGAUGACGUCAAGUCAUCAUGUCCCUUAUGCCCAGGGCGACACACAUGCUACAAUGGGAGGUACAAAGGGUCGCAAUACCGUAAGGUGGAGCCAAUCCAUAAAAACCUUCCUUAGUUCGGAUUGAGGUCUGCAACUCGACCUCAUGAAGCCGGAAUCGCUAGUAAUCGCGGGUCAGCCAUACCGCGGUGAAUAUGU
rnacentral:rRNA from 1 species